GGGGGGGGUGCGAGCGUUKUCCSGGAAUCACUGGGSSGUAAAGGGCGSGUAGGUGGUUUGAUAAGGGUGUGGUGAAAGUCCGGGGGCUCAACCCCGGAUCUGCCGUGCCGACUGUCAAACUCGAGGGCUGUAGAGGCAGGCGGAAUUCCGGGUGUAGCGGUGGAAUGCGUAGAGAUCCGGAGGAAGACCGGUGGCGAAGGCGGCCUGCUGGGCAGUUUCUGACACUGAUGCGCGACAGCGUGGGGAGCAAACAGGAUUAGAUACCCUGGUAGUCCACGCCGUAAACGAUGGGUACUAGGUGCCUGGGGGAGCGACCCUCUGGGUGCCGGCGCUAACGCAGGAAGUACCCCGCCUGGGGAGUACGACCGCAAGGUUG
rnacentral:rRNA from 1 species